CCUACCAUUUUCAGAAACCUUGCCCUUGCCUUGAGCUGCAGCCGCCACACCCCUUCUGCUAGGGUUAGGUUCUUACUGUUGUCGAGCCAGUUCGAAGUCUUCUCCUACUCCAGUUCUCCUGUUCGUUCCUUGAAGCUGUCGUGCUCGUGCGUUCAGUAGCUAGGGCGUGUCGGAGCGUUUUGCUAGCUUGAAUCCCAGAUGAGAGGGAGGUUCGUGAUGGAUCCGGGAGACGCAGCGGUGCGGCCUAGACUUCCCUGUCUGGAUGUCUUAGGAAUAGUUUCAGGGCCAUGAGGCCUUUUGUAUUAGUUGCCUUAGUGGCAACCUUUUUGCAAAACUGUUGCACCCCUUUUUAAAUUUCCUUUUACUUAGGACAAUGUGGUAUGCCUAAGUUUCUUUUAAGUGACUCCGGAUGACUGUACUAGUUAUCCUUCUUACGUUUCAUGUUUA